AGCGAACGCUGGCGGCAGGCUUAACACAUGCAAGUCGAGCGGGCGUAGCAAUACGUCAGCGGCAGACGGGUGAGUAACGCGUGGGAACGUACCUUUUGGUUCGGAACAACACAGGGAAACUUGUGCUAAUACCGGAUAAGCCCUUACGGGGAAAGAUUUAUCGCCGAAAGAUCGGCCCGCGUCUGAUUAGCUAGUUGGUGAGGUAACGGCUCACCAAGGCGACGAUCAGUAGCUGGUCUGAGAGGAUGAUCAGCCACAUUGGGACUGAGACACGGCCCAAACUCCUACGGGAGGCACGAGUGGGGAAUAUUGGAAAAUGGGGGCAACCCUGAUCCAGCCAUGCCGCGUGAGUGAUGAAGGCCCUAGGGUUGUAAAGCUCUUUUGUGCGGGAAGAUAAUGACGGUACCGAAAGAAUAAGCCCCGGCUAACUUCGUG
rnacentral:rRNA from 1 species